UACGUAGGGGGCGAGCGUUGUCCGGAGUUACUGGGCGUAAAGGGCAUGCAGGCGGUUCUGCGCGUUUCGCGUGACAGCUUCGGGCUUAACCGGAAGAGAGUGCGAAAGACGGCGGGACUUGAGGGCCAGAGAGGGACACGGAAUUCCGGGUGGAGUGGUGAAAUGCGUAGAGAUCCGGAGGAACACCGAAGGCGAAGGCAGUGUCCUGGCUGGUGACUGACGCUGAGGUGCGAAAGCCAGGGGAGCGAACGGG
rnacentral:rRNA from 1 species